GAACACGGUAGUUAAGCUUCUCUGCACCAAUGGUAGUUGGGGGCUUCCCCCUGCGAGAGUAGGUCGCUGCCGGGC
rnacentral:rRNA from 1 species